rnacentral:rRNA from 1 species
GUCCACGCCCUAAACGAUGUCGACUGGUUGUUGGGGUUUGACACUCUCAGUAACGAAGCUAACGCGUGAAGUCGACCGCCUGGGGAGUACGGCCGCAAGGUUAAACUCAAAGGAAUUGACGGGACCCGCACAAGCGGUGGAUUAUGUGGAUUAAUUCGAUGCAACGCGAAAACCUUACCUACCCUUGACAUGUCCGAAAGCCUGAAGAGAUUUGGGUGUGCCCGAAAGGGAAUCGGAACACAGGUGCUGCAUGGCUGUCGU